rnacentral:rRNA from 1 species
GGGGGGGGGGGGGGGGGGGGGGGGGGGGGGGGGGGCGGGGGGGGGGGUGGGGGGGGUGGGCGGCGGAGGUGGGCGGCGGGCGGGUGGGUAACACGUGGAUAACCUACCUAUAAGACUGGGAUAACUUCGGGAAACCGGAGCUAAUACCGGAUAAUAUAUUGAACCGCAUGGUUCAAUAGUGAAAGACGGUUUUGCUGUCACUUAUAGAUGGAUCCGCGCCGCAGUAGCUAGUUGGUAAGGUAACGGCGUACCAAGGCAACGAUGCGUAGCCGACCUGAGAGGGUGAUCGGCCACACUGGAACUGAGACACGGUCCAGACUCCUACGGGAGGCAGCAGUAGGGAAUCUUCCGCAAUGGGCGAAAGCCUGACGGAGCAACGCCGCGUGAGUGAUGAAGGUCUUCGGAUCGUAAAACUCUGUUAUUAGGGAAGAACAAAUGUGUAAGUAACUAUGCACGUCUUGACGGUACCUAAUCAGAAAGCCACGGCUAACUACGUG